GCAGAUAUAGCAAGUUGAAGAUCCUGAUAUGAGGAGAUCAUCCUGGAUUAUCUGAGCAGUUCCAAAUUCCAAUGAUAAGCAUUAUUAUAUUGUGAGGCAGAGGGAGAUUUGACCCAUGAACCCAUACAGAGGAGACCAUGUGAUGACUGAGGUAAAGAUAAAAGUGACAUGGCCACAAGCCAGGGAACACUGACAGCCAUCAGAAUCGGGAAGAUGCAAAGAACAGAACUUUCCUGGAGCCUCUGGACUAGAAAAUUAUAAAUCAAGCACUCCUGCUGAUUGAUGUCUUGAUCUCAGGUGGUCCUGCUGAAACCCUGAUCUUAGAAUUUUGGCCUCCAGAACUAAUACAUUCAUACCUUUGUGGUAAUAGGGUAGGGUGCCCUGUGAUGAUAGCCAAGGUGCCAAGGUUGGGAAGCCCUGCUGCAGAGGAAACAGCACAGCACACUGUAAUCUCCAAGAAACAUGGUCCAAAUGCAUAAUGCCAUGAACUGACAAUAAUCAAGCAAUGAAUAAUAUUCAUCAUGGUCUUUUGGCUGCCAAAAUCAAUCAAUCAAUGUGUAAACUUUCUUACCUAAUAUUUGCUCUGAAUGACUGCUUCUCAUUGAAAAUUCCUGUCCUACCAACAUUCCGAUUCCACAACCAGAACCCACAGUUAAUUGAGCUCAUAAUACUGGUAAGCAAGUACCAAAAAAGUUAUCUCUUCAGCCAGAAAAAAAUGCCACAAAUGUUCACCACAGUUAAAUAUAUACAAGCAUUAUUCCUUGAUAUCUUGCAGAAUCAACUAAAUAUAACAGCUGAGGCUUAAAAACUCACUUUCUCUGUAGAAGGACCUAUUUUGGUUAUGCUUGGAUUUCCACUGAACAGCAUUUGGCUUUGUUUUACUAACCACACACUGUCUGUUGCCAUCCUCUCUCUAAGUCUACCCACAGAAAUGUGAAUGCUUCCACUAAUGGUAAACCACCAACAUCAAUGCAAGCACAGCAAUAAUUCCACAGCCAGCCCUAGAUCUUAGUACUCUAAAGGGAAGAAAUCAAAAGGUUUUCAGAACAUAAUUUAUUGACACUUAGGGUUUUCACCAACUCUGUUAUGCCUGUUCAGGCCACCAAAGCAGACAAGUUGAUUGAAACUUUUUUUUAGCAUCUCUACAUGAUUGUGAUUACAUUCAUGUCAAAAAAUAUUUUGUGAAUUUUUAUUUUGGGGGUUGUAGGAUAGCAAGAUGGCAUCGAUAUUUUGGGCUUGCCCAGGAUGCUAUAUUUGGAAUGUUUAAAUUUUUCAAAUGAUUGAAAAGCAAUUAAUCUCCAUCAUGUAGGGAAACCUAGUCAUGUUUACUACACCUGACGUUCAUAUACUUGCUAGGUAAGCAUCUAGAUUGAAGUAAAAACCAAUAUUAUUAUAUUUAUGUAUUCCUAGUGAAAACAUUUUGUGUUUUUAAGGUGUUUUAGGUGUUUAGGACAAAUUCUAAAGUAAGAGAAUUGUUUUAUUUGGUGGCUUUUAUCUUUCUUCACUCUUCCCCCAAAUGGGCAUGGUUCUAUAAUCACCAUAAUUCUCCCACGGUUGCCAAGAUAAGCGUGCACGCGUGUGUGCGCGCACACACACACACACUUUCUCUCUCUUCUCAGAACCUGGCACAAGCCUGCAAUUACUUAAACUCAAUAUCUCUAUCAUUUCAGGUAUAAUUUACAUAAAGUCAAAAUACACAAGUCUUAACUGUAUAAUUCCAUCAGUUUUGGUAAAUGUAGACACCACACCUCUAUCAAAAUAUGGAGCAUUUUCAUCAUCCUAGAGGGUUACCUCAUGCCCCUUCCCAGGCAGUCCCACCCUUGCUUCCCAUUCACUCACAAAAGCAGCCACUGCACCAUGGAAUAGUUUCAUCUCUUCCAGAAUUUCAUCAGAAUGGAAUCAUAAGUAUGAAAUUACUCAUUUUGUAUCUUGCUUCUUUCACUUAGCAUGUUUUUGAGAUUCACGUAAUAGAAGUUCUGUCUUAUUGCUAAGUAGUUUUCCAUUACAUGAAUAUUUUACAGUUUGUUUAUCCAUUUUCCUCUAGAUCGACUGAUUGGGCAUUAUGAAUAAUGCUGCUAUGAAAAGUCUUGUACAAGGUUCUGUAGACGUAUUAUGUCUCUUGAAUACUCAGAAGUUGAUUUGCUGCCACACUAGUAGAUGUACAUUUAACUGCUAAAGUAAACUGCUGUUUUUUGUUUUUUGUUUUUUGUUUUUUGUUUUUGAGACGGAGUCUCGCUCUGUCGCCCAAGCUGGAGUGCAGUGGUGCGAUCUUAGCUCACUGCAAGCUCCGCCUCCCGGGUUCGCGCCAUUCUCCUUCCUCAGCCUCCAGAGUAGCUGGGACUACAGGCACCUGCCACCAUGCCCGGCUAAUUUUUUGUAUUUUUAGUAGAGACGGGAUUUCACCGUGUUAGCCGGAAUGGUCUGGAUCUCCGCCCGCCUCGGCCUCCCAAAGUGCUGGGAUUACAGGCGUGAGCCACCGAGCCCGGCCAGUAAACUGCUUUUUAAACAAACUACUGAACAGUUUUCCAAAGUGGUCAUAUUAGGUUGGUGCAAAACUAACUGCAGUUUUUCCCAUUAAAAGUAAUGGCAAAAACCAAUAUUAUUUGUUUUCUUUCCCCCAGCAAUAUAUGAGUGUAUCUGUUGUUCCAUACAUAUGACAGGAUUGGCUUUGAUAAUCUUUUUUAUUUUAGCCAUUUUAGUGGGUACGUAUCUCAUUGUGAUUUUAAAUUGCCUUUCCCUUGUAAAUAUUUAUGCUGAAUACUUUUUUAUGUGUUUAUUAGUCAUUCAUACACACACAUAUUCACACGCAUAUACAUAUAAUCUAUUAUAUUACAUAUUUAUUAUAUAGAUGUUUGUGACAUAUCUGUUGAAGUCUUCUGCUGAUAUAUAUACAUAUAUACGCACAUAUAUGUUGUGUCUAUGUGAGCUAUUUGUCUUUUUAUUAUUGAGUUUUAGAAGUAUUUUUGAUAUGAAAAGUCCUUUGUCACAUAUGUUUUAUUAAUAUUUUCUCCAAAUCUGUGGCUUAUUUAUUUUCUUAUUGGUGUCUUCUGAUAAGAAGAUUUUAAUUUAAUAAAGUCUAAUUCAUUAAUUUUAUUA